GAUGAACGCUGGCGGCGUGCCUAAUACAUGCAAGUCGAGCGAACGGACGAGAAGCUUGCUUCUCUGAUGUUAGCGGCGGACGGGUGAGUAACACGUGGAUAACCUACCUAUAAGACUGGGAUAACUUCGGGAAACCGGAGCUAAUACCGGAUAAUAUUUUGAACCGCAUGGUUCAAAAGUGAAAGACGGUCUUGCUGUCACUUAUAGAUGGAUCCGCGCUGCAUUAGCUAGUUGGUAAGGUAACGGCUUACCAAGGCAACGAUGCAUAGCCGACCUGAGAGGGUGAUCGGCCACACGGGAUCUGAGACACGGGCCAGACUCCUACGGGAGGCAGCAGUAGGGAAUCUUCCGCAAGGGGCGAAAGCCUGACGGAGCAACGCCGCGUGAGUGAUGAAGGUCUUCGGAUCGUAAAACUCUGUUAUUAGGGAAGAACAUAUGUGUAAGUAACUGUGCAAAUCUUGACGGUACCUAAUCAGAAAGCCACGGCUAACUACGU
rnacentral:rRNA from 1 species